UUCACCGGAGUCACAGUUGAAGAGUGUCGAGUCCUCCUGUCAGGAAGUAUGCAACAAAGCAUGGAUGAAGAAAAGAAGGGCUUGUGGAAGACUCUAAUGGAGAGGUUCUCCUCUAAAACUGAGGAUGUUCCAGAGAAAGCUCCAGAAAAAUAACUUUACCUCUUAAAACACCAUUUCCCCCACUGUUGCUUGUAUAGAAAUAAAGUUUAUACAUAUGUUUGUGAA